UUGUUUCUCUCUCUUUCUCUCUCUCAAUCAAGAUGCAAAUAAGCACAAACAAACAUUCAAGCCACAAGUCCAACCCCACCAACUCUCUUCUUAUGAAAGUGUUCACUGUGUUUUUUUCCUGCUUCAACAGUGGAGCAUGUGUAUUUCUGUGCUUUUUGGUUUCAUCUGAUCUUGGAUUUUUGUCUCGGACACAACAAUGAAACCUCUUGUUUCACAAUUCUCAUAUCUCCAAGUCUUAUUAUAGCCUUAGUUUUGAGCAAAAGAAAAGUAAAAAAGGAUGAAAUAAUAAAUUCAUAGUUUUUUUUUUUUAAAUUCUCUUAUGGCUGUAAUACAAUUUUUGCUUCUAGUUCCACCAAAUUCUGUUCCUAUUUUUGUUGUUGUUCUUGGAUUGGUGGUGAAGGGUAAGAGAAUUCAUGAUUGAUCUACAAUUUCACUUGGAAGGAAAUGGGGUUGAAGCUGAUUCUGCUGCUGAUUAAGCUACAUUUAGUGCUCAGCACUCAACAGCUUCAUGAAUAUGAAGUCACCAAUCCACACCAUUCAAGAGCAAGUAAUCAGUUUAGUAUUGCAAUCCCACCAUUGAAAUCAACUUCUGGAGUUUCC